rnacentral:rRNA from 1 species
CAGCAGCCGCGGUAACACGAAGGGGGCUAGCGUUGCUCGGAAUGACUGGGCGUAAAGGGCGCGUAGGCGGUUUGUACAGUUGGAUGUGAAAUCCCUGGGCUUAACCUGGGGGCUGCAUUCAAUACGUGCAGGCUUGAGUGUGGAAGAGGGUUGUGGAAUUCCCAGUGUAGAGGUGAAAUUCGUAGAUAUUGGGAAGAGCACCGGUGGCGAAGGCGGCAACCUGGUCCAUUACUGACGCUGAGGCGCGAAAGCGUGGGGAGCAAACAGGAUUAGAUACCCCGGUAGUCCCUGUCUCUUAUAA